AGAGAAUCCAGGCCACAUUUGAGAUGUUUGGGGCAGGACUUUAGGUGAAGUUUGUGACCACUCAAUAAAUCUCAGAGUCAGAGUUAAAUCUCAGCAUGUAUAACAGAAGAUCCUAUAAGGCUGAGGAAGAUGAAUGAUCACCCAAUCUACUAGAGACAGCUAAAUAACUUUGAGGUAUUAUUCUACUGAGGACUGCUUGGGACGGUGAAGCUUCUCUGCUUACUCCCCUUCGAGGGCAGCUGAGACAUAUGAGGCACAACAUCAAGAACAGCAAUAAAAAUGUAUCAUCUUGUCAAAGCACCUCAUGUUUGCUACAAUAUACCACCUCUAAAAGUUUUCCAUAUUUAUGACUGAGUGCAGGCUUUCAGGAACGACAAAAC